rnacentral:rRNA from 1 species
UACGAAGGGGGGCUAGCGUUGUUCGGAUUUACUGGGCGUAAAGCGCACGUAGGCGGAUUGCUAAGUCAGGGGGGAAAUCCUGGAGCUCAACUCCAGAACUGCCUUUGAUACUGAAGAUCUUGAGUUCGGGAGAGGUGAGUGGAACUGCGAGUGUAGAGGUGAAAUUCGUAGAUAUUCGCAAGAACACCAGUGGCGAAGGCGGCUCACUGGCCCGAUACUGACGCUGAGGCACGAAAGCGUGGGGAGCAAACAGG